rnacentral:rRNA from 1 species
CGGGUGAGUAACGCGUGGGUAACCUGCCUCAUACAGGGGAUAACAGUUGGAAACGACUGCUAAUACCGCAUAAGCCCACGGCUCGGCAUCGAGCAGAGGGAAAAGGAGUGAUCCGCUUUGAGAUGGCCUCGCGUCCGAUUAGCUAGUUGGUGAGGUAACGGCCCACCAAGGCAACGAUCGGUAGCCGGACUGAGAGGUUGAACGGCCACAUUGGGACUGAGACACGGCCCAG